rnacentral:rRNA from 1 species
UACGGAGGGAGCUAGCGUUGCUCGGAAUUACUGGGCGUAAAGCGCGCGUAGGCGGUUUUUUAAGUCAGAGGUGAAAGCCCAGUGCUCAACACUGGAACUGCCUUUGAAACUGGAAAACUUGAAUCUUGGAGAGGUCAGUGGAAUUCCGAGUGUAGAGGUGAAAUUCGUAGAUAUUCGGAAGAACACCAGUGGCGAAGGCGGCUCACUGGCCCGAUACUGACGCUGAGGAGCGAAAGCGUGGGGAGCGAACAGG